rnacentral:rRNA from 1 species
UACAGAGGUCUCAAGCGUUGUUCGGAUUCAUUGGGCGUAAAGGGUGCGUAGGUGGCGGGGUAAGUCAGGUGUGAAAUUUCGGAGCUCAACUCCGAAACUGCAUUUGAUACUGCCUUGCUUGAGGACUGGAGAGGAGACUGGAAUUCACGGUGUAGCAGUGAAAUGCGUAGAUAUCGUGAGGAAGACCAGUGGCGAAGGCGGGUCUCUGGACAGUAACUGACGCUGAGGAGCGAAAGCGUGGGGAGCGAACAGG